GCGCUCCUGCAGUAUUCGUCAGUGGAUCGGGAAACUCUUGAGCCGUAACGUCAUACCCCGGGAGCUGAUACCGGCAUUGUGUGCAUGUCCGCGCGUUCGGAAAGCCUGAUGUGCCGAUGACGCCCCCACUUGAACCUCAGGUUCAAGGCGAAGAUCGCAACGGUACAUGUGGGGCGCC
rnacentral:other from 1 species